UACGAAGGGGGCUAGCGUUGCUCGGAAUCACUGGGCGUAAAGGGUGCGUAGGCGGGUCUUUAAGUCAGGGUGAAAUCCUGGAGCUCAACUCCAGAACUGCCUUCGAUACUGGCGAUCUUGAGUCCGGAAGAGGUGAGUGGAACUCCUAGUGUAGAGGUGGAAUUCGUAGAUAUUAGGAAGAAACACCAGUGGCGAAGGCGGCUCACUGGUCCGGUACUGACGCUGAGGUGGCGAAAAGC
rnacentral:rRNA from 1 species